rnacentral:rRNA from 1 species
UACGAAGGGGGCUAGCGUUGCUCGGAAUUACUGGGCGUAAAGCGCACGUAGGCGGAUCUUUAAGUCAGGGGUGAAAUCCUGGAGCUCAACUCCAGAACUGCCUUUGAUACUGAGGACCUUGAGUUCGGGAGAGGUGAGUGGAACUGCGAGUGUAGAGGUGAAAUUCGUAGAUAUUCGCAAGAACACCAGUGGCGAAGGCGGCUCACUGGCCCGAUACUGACGCUGAGGAGCGAAAGCGUGGGGAGCGAACGAGG